rnacentral:rRNA from 1 species
CCGGUAAACGGCGGCCGUAACUAUAACGGUCCUAAGGUAGCGAAAUUCCUUGUCGGGUAAGUUCCGACCUGCACGAAUGGCGUAAUGAUGGCCAGGCUGUCUCCACCCGAGACUCAGUGAAAUUGAACUCGCUGUGAAGAUGCAGUGUACCCGCGGCAAGACGGAAAGACCCCGUGAACCUUUACUAUAGCUUGACACUGAACAUUGAGCCUUGAUGUGUAGGAUAGGUGGGAGGCUUUGAAGUGUGGACGCCAGUCUGCAUGGAGCCGACCUUGAAAUACCACCCUUUAAUGUUUGAUGUUCUAACGUUGGCCCCUGAUCGGGGUUGCGGACAGUGUCUGGUGGGUAGUUUGACUGGGGCGGUCUCCUCCUAAAGAGUAACGGAGGAGCACGAAGGUUGGCUAAUCCUGGUCGGACAUCAGGAGGUUAGUGCAAUGGCAUAAGCCAGCUUGACUGCGAGCGUGACGGCGCGAGCAGGUGCGAAAGCAGGUCAUAGUGAUCCGGUGGUUCUGAAUGGAAGGGCCAUCGCUCAACGGAUAAAAGGUACUCCGGGGAUAACAGGCUGAUACCGCCCAAGAGUUCAUAUCGACGGCGGUGUUUGGCACCUCGAUGUCGGCUCAUCACAUCCUGGGGCUGAAGUAGGUCCCAAGGGUAUGGCUGUUCGCCAUUUAAAGUGGUACGCGAGCUGGGUUUAGAACGUCGUGAGACAGUUCGGUCCCUAUCUGCCGUGGGCGCUGGAGAACUGAGGGGGGCUGCUCCUAGUACGAGAGGACCGGAGUGGACGCAUCACUGGUGUUCGGGUUGUCAUGCCAAUGGCACUGCCCGGUAGCUAAAUGCGGAAGAGAUAAGUGCUGAAAGCAUCUAAGCACGAAACUUGC